rnacentral:rRNA from 1 species
AGAGUUUGAUCCUGGCUCAGAUUGAACGCUGGCGGCAGGCUUAACACAUGCAAGUCGAGCGGAGAGAGGUAGCUUGCUACUGAUCUUAGCGGCGGACGGGUGAGUAAUGCUUAGGAAUCUGCCUAUUAGUGGGGGACAACAUUUCGAAAGGAAUGCUAAUACCGCAUACGUCCUACGGGAGAAAGCAGGGGAUCUUCGGACCUUGCGCUAAUAGAUGAGCCUAAGUCGGAUUAGCUAGUUGGUGGGGUAAAGGCCUACCAAGGCGACGAUCUGUAGCGGGUCUGAGAGGAUGAUCCGCCACACUGGGACUGAGACACGGCCCAGACUCCUACGGGAGGCAGCAGUGGGGAAUAUUGGACAAUGGGCGCAAGCCUGAUCCAGCCAUGCCGCGUGUGUGAAGAAGGCCUUAUGGCUGUAAAGCACUUUAAGCGAGGAGGAGGCUACUUUAGUUAAUACCUAGAGAUAGUGGACGUUACUCGCAGAAUAAGCACCGGCUAACUCUGUGCCAGCAGCCGCGGUAAUACAGAGGGUGCAAGCGUUAAUCGGAUUUACUGGGCGUAAAGCGCGCGUAGGCGGCUAAUUAAGUCAAAUGUGAAAUCCCCGAGCUUAACUUGGGAAUUGCAUUCGAUACUGGUUAGCUAGAGUGUGGGAGAGGAUGGUAGAAUUCCAGGUGUAGCGGUGAAAUGCGUAGAGAUCUGGAGGAAUACCGAUGGCGAAGGCAGCCAUCUGGCCUAACACUGACGCUGAGGUGCGAAAGCAUG